rnacentral:rRNA from 1 species
UGGGGAAUAUUGCACAAUGGGCGCAAGCCUGAUGCAGCGACGCCGCGUGGGGGAUGACGGCCUUCGGGUUGUAAACUCCUUUCGCUAGGGACGAAGCUUUUUGUGACGGUACCUAGAUAAGAAGCACCGGCUAACUACGUGCCAGCAGCCGCGGUAAUACGUAGGGUGCGAGCGUUGUCCGGAAUUACUGGUCGUAAAGGGCUCGUAGGUGGUUUGUCGCGUCGUCUGUGAAAUUCCGGGGCUUAACUCCGGGCGUGCAGGCGAUACGGGCAUAACUUGAGUACUGUAGGGGUAACUGGAAUUCCUGGUGUAGCGGUGAAAUGCGCAGAUAUCAGGGGGAACACCGAUGGCGAAGGCAGGUUACUGGGCAGUUACUGACGCUGAGGAGCGAAAGCAUGGGUAGCGAACAGG